GACGAACGCUGGCGGCGUGCCUAAUACAUGCAAGUAGAACGCACAGUUUAUACCGUAGCUUGCUACACCAUAAACUGUGAGUUGCGAACGGGUGAGUAACGCGUAGGUAACCUGCCUGGUAGCGGGGGAUAACUAUUGGAAACGAUAGCUAAUACCGCAUAAUAUUGAUUAUUGCAUGAUAAUUGAUUGAAAGAUGCUAUUGCAUCACUACCAGAUGGACCUGCGUUGUAUUAGCUAGUAGGUGGGGUAACGGCUCACCUAGGCGACGAUACAUAGCCGACCUGAGAGGGUGAUCGGCCACACUGGGACUGAGACACGGCCCAGACUCCUACGGGAGGCAGCAGUAGGGAAUCUUCGGCAAUGGACGAAAGUCUGACCGAGCAACGCCGCGUGAGUGAAGAAGGUUUUCGGAUCGUAAAGCUCUGUUGUAAGAGAAGAACGGGUGUGAGAGUGGAAAGUUCACACUGUGACGGUAUCUGACCAGAAAGGGACGGCUAACUACGU
rnacentral:rRNA from 1 species